rnacentral:tRNA from 1 species
GGGGAUGUUGCUCAGCAGCACAGCACCUGCCUGGCAAGCGUGAGGUCCUGAGUUUGAUGCUCGGUACCCCCA